CAAGUAAUAGUUUAUAAAAAUAUUAAUUUUGGAGAUUAAAGAUAGGAAAGAUUCUUUUACUUGA
rnacentral:tRNA from 1 species